UGGGGAAUAUUGGACAAUGGGCGCAAGCCUGAUCCAGCCAUGCCGCGUGAGUGAUGAAGGCCUUAGGGUUGUAAAGCUCUUUCGCCGACGAAGAUAAUGACGGUAGUCGGAGAAGAAGCCCCGGCUAACUUCGUGCCAGCAGCCGCGGUAAUACGAAGGGGGCUAGCGUUGUUCGGAAUCACUGGGCGUAAAGCGCACGUAGGCGGAUUGUUAAGUCAGGGGUGAAAGCCUGGAGCUCAACUCCAGAACUGCCCUUGAUACUGGCAAUCUCGAGUCCGGAAGAGGUAAGUGGAACUGCGAGUGUAGAGGUGAAAUUCGUAGAUAUUCGCAAGAACACCAGUGGCGAAGGCGGCUUACUGGUCCGGUACUGACGCUGAGGUGCGAAAAGCGUGGGGGAGCAAAACAGGAUUAGAUACCCUGGUAGUCCACGCCGUAAAACGAUGGAGGCUAGCCGUUGGCGAGCAUGCUCGUCAGUGGCGCAGCUAACGCAUUAAGCCUCCCCGCCCUGGGGGAGUACGGUCGCAAGA
rnacentral:rRNA from 1 species